rnacentral:snoRNA from 1 species
ACAACCUUACUUGAAAAGGAUCUAUUCUAUAGGGUCGUACAACUGGACCAAAAUUAGAAAUA